CCUACGGGGUGCAGCAGUGAGGAAUAUUGGUCAAUGGACGGAAGUCUGAACCAGCCAUGCCGCGUGCAGGAAGACGGCUCUAUGAGUUGUAAACUGCUUUUGUACAAGGGUAAACCUGAAUACGUGUAUUCAGCUGAAAGUACUGUACGAAUAAGAAUCGGCUAACUCCGUGCCAGCAGCCGCGGUAAUACGGAGGAUCCAAGCGUUAUCCGGAUUUAUUGGGUUUAAAGGGUGCGUAGGCGGAUUGAUAAGUUAGAGGUGAAAUGUCCGAGCUUAACUCGGGAACUGCCUCUAAUGCUGUUGAUCAAGAGAGUAGAUGCGGUAGGCGGAAUGUAUGGUGUAGCGGUGAAAUGCUUAGAGAUCAUACAGAACACCGAUUGCGAAGGCAGCUUACCAAUCUAUAUCUGACGUUGAGGCACGAAAGCGUGGGGAGUAAACAGGAUUAGAUACCCUAGUAGUC
rnacentral:rRNA from 1 species